CAGCAGCCGCGGGAAAACGGAGGGUGCAAGCGUUAAUCGGAAUUACUGGGCGUAAAGCGCACGCAGGCGGUCUGUCAAGUCAGAUGUGAAAUCCCCGGGCUUAACCUGGGAACUGCAUUUGAAACUGGCAGGCUAGAGUCUUGUAGAGGGGGGUAGAAUUCCAGGUGUAGCGGUGAAAUGCGUAGAGAUCUGGAGGAAUACCGGUGGCGAAGGCGGCCCCCUGGACAAAGACUGACGCUCAGGUGCGAAAGCGUGGGGAGCAAACAGGAUUAGAUACCCCUGUAGUCCCUGUCUCUUAUAA
rnacentral:rRNA from 1 species